rnacentral:rRNA from 1 species
UGGGGAAUAUUGCACAAUGGGGGAAACCCUGAUGCAGCGACGCCGCGUGAACGAAGAAGGUAUUCGUAUCGUAAAGUUCUGUCCUAUGGGAAGAUAAUGACAGUACCAUAGAAGAAAGCUCCGGCUAAAUACGUGCCAGCAGCCGCGGUAAUACGUAUGGAGCGAGCGUUGUCCGGAAUUAUUGGGCGUAAAGGGUACGCAGGCGGUUUAAUAAGUCGAAUGUUAAAGAUCGGGGCUCAACCCCGCAAAGCAUUGGAAACUGAUAAACUUGAGUAGUGGAGAGGAAAGUGGAAUUCCUAGUGUAGUGGUGAAAUACGUAGAUAUUAGGAGGAAUACCAGUAGCGAAGGCGACUUUCUGGACACAAACUGACGCUGGGGUACGAAAGCGUGGGGAGCAAACAG